rnacentral:rRNA from 1 species
UAUUAGUUAUGAAAUAUAUUUCAAGAAAUUUUAUAUCUAGUUUUUUAAGAGUAAAAGUUUAAUAGAAUAAUUUUUAUAAAAAUUAAUAUGGUUUAGCUUAUUAAUUUUAUAUACUGAUAGAAUUUUUUAACCUUAGUAAAUUUGAUAGUGUUUAUUUUAUAAAUUUAUAAUGGAGGGUAAUAUGAAUAAAAAUUUUUAUUUGUUAUUUUUUUAUUAAAAAAUUUAUUUAAAUUUUAGAGUUUUAUUUAUAAUGAAAAAAUUAGUAAAAAUUUAUUUAUAUUAAAAAAUAAUUAAUAAUUUAUAAUUGUUAUAAUUAUUAUAAAAAAUGAAUUCGGCAAAAAGUAUUAUUUGACUGUUUAGCAAAAACAUUGUUUCAUGAAGAAUAUAUGAAAUAAUGUCUGUCCACUGAUAUAUUUGAAGGACUGCAGUAUAUUGACUGUAUAAAAGUAGCAUAAUCAUUAGCUUUUUAAUUUGGGGUUGGUAUGAAGGCGAAACGGAUAAGUUCUUUAUUUUUUAUAAGUGUUUAAGUUUAUUUUUAAGUGAAAAAUCUUAAUUAGAUGAGAGGGACCACAAGACCCUAAUAAGUUUUAUUUUUCUCUUAUUUAUGUUAUAGGAAAAUUUAAUUAGAUAAUAUUAAUAUUAGAAAUUUGGUUGGGGCGAUUAGUUAUAAAACAUAAUUUAUU